rnacentral:rRNA from 1 species
UGGGGAAUCUUCCGCAAUGGACGAAAGUCUGACGGAGCAACGCCGCGUGAGUGAAGAAGGUUUUCGGAUCGUAAAACUCUGUCUUUUGGGGCGAACGUGAGUAUGGUGAACAAUCAUAGUCAGUGACGGUACCAAAGGAGGAAGCCACGGCUAACUACGUGCCAGCAGCCGCGGUAAUACGUAGGUGGCAAGCGUUGUCCGGAAUUAUUGGGCGUAAAGAGCGCGUAGGCGGGAUAGUCAGUCUGUUGUAAAGUGCGGGGCUCAACCCCGUGAUCGCAAUGGAAACAGCUAUUCUUGAGUGCAGGAGAGGAAAGUGGAAUUCCCAGUGUAGCGGUGAAAUGCGUAGAUAUUGGGAGGAACACCAGUGGCGAAGGCGACUUUCUGGACUGUGUCUGACGCUGAGGCGCGAAAGCCAGGGGAGCGAACGGGAUUAGAUACCCCGGUAGUCCUGGCCGUAAACGAUGGGUACUAGGUGUGGGAGGUAUCGACCCCUUCCGUGCCGGAGUUAACGCAAUAAGUACCCCGCCUGGGGAGUACGGUCGCAAGACUGAAACUCAAAGGAAUUGACGGGGUCAUAGCUGUUUCCUG